CCAGACUCCUACGGGAGGCAGCAGUGGGGAAUAUUGGGCAAUGGGCGCAAGCCUGACCCAGCAACGCCGCGUGAAGGAAGAAGGCUUUCGGGUUGUAAACUUCUUUUGACGGGGAAGAGCAGAAGACGGUACCUGUCGAAUAAGCCACGGCUAACUACGUGCCAGCAGCCGCGGUAAUACGUAGGUGGCAAGCGUUGUCCGGAUUUACUGGGUGUAAAGGGAGCGUAGACGGCCAUGCAAGCCUGGAGUGAAAGCCCGGGGCCCAACCCCGGGACUGCUCUGGGAACUGUGCGGCUGGAGUGCGGGAGGGGCAGGCGGAAUUCCUGGUGUAGCGGUGAAAUGCGUAGAUAUCAGGAGGAGCACCGGCGGCGAAGGCGGCCUGCUGGACCGCGACUGACGUUGAGGCUCGAAAGCGUGGGGAGCAAACAGGAUUAGAUACCCCAGUA
rnacentral:rRNA from 1 species